rnacentral:lncRNA from 1 species
CAGGCUUGUAGGGACCUUCAACCGGCACAUUAAUAUAAUCAGCCUGAUCUUUACUAAGCUUCGUUAGCUUCGCUCCAAGCUUACCAAGAUGAAGAGCAGCCACCUUCUCAUCAAGAUGCUUAGGUAACACAUACACUUCCUUCUUAUACUUCCCACUUCCCUUUUCCUUCCACAAUUCAAGCUGUGCAAUCACCUGGUUUGUAAACGAACACGACAUCACAAAACUUGGAUGCCCUGUAGCACAACCCAAGUUCAUCAACCUCCCUUCUGCCAAUAUAAUCACUCCAGUUUUUGUAUCAGGGAACACCCAUCGAUCGGUUUGGGGUUUAAUCGUGACUCUUUUCACACCUGGGUAUGUUUCUAGCCCAAGCAUGUCGAUUUCGUUGUCGAAAUGGCCUAUGUUGCAGACGAUGGCGUUGUUCUUCAUUUUUUUCAUGUGGUCCACCAUG